CGAGCAGGGCUGCAAUUCAAACGUCUAUAACGGAAGAGAAGCGGAAAAUAGCUUUGAUCGUGUACGAAUAGUAGUGCACUAAAUCGCUAAAACGAAUUUCCUUCAUCUGCAUGCCAGUUACAUAUAAAAGUUAUUUUUUAACUAAGAACCGCAAAGUGGUAACAAAGUAAUUAAGGGUGUCUUAUAUACGAAAUUAAUUGGCGGUUAAAUGGAUAGCUGGAAGAAAAAGUGUUGAAUUAAGUCAAUGGUCUGACCUACUUAACGGUAAACGUUCGGCUGUAUGUGUUAAAAACUAAUGUAUAUUUUGUAUGUAAAUCAACUAAUAACCCGAAAUUCGAAAACGAAGCAAUAACUUAUAAUUUUAGUGCUAAAUGAAGUGAGAAAGCACACUCAACACUAACAACUUUGGCCGUAAUGAAUGGCUGCUGAAUUUUUUUUGUUUUUUUUUUUUGUUUUGGCAAAUUAACCCACAUUCUGUUGGCAGAAGAAUUAAAAUUUAAGUAACGUAAGCGAACUCAAAAACAAUACUCAUUAAUACAACAAAAAUAACAACGAACAUACAAACUGUAAACUAUGUAUAAAAUAUAAACGAAAUGCAAGCAACGUGAAAUUAAUGUAUUAAAAAAAAACUAAAAGAAGUCACCAGCAAACUAACGCAAUAAAAAAGCAGCAUCAGCGCUAACGACAACUAGUACCUGCGUACAAAUGUGGAUCAUAGAAGAGUGCAGUGUCUGUAAAAAAGCCAGCGUCACCGCGUCGAAUGAUUGCAAAUUGCCAUUUUAACUUUAAAUACUCCUUCGAACACAAAAAUCUACAAUACGAACUAAAGCUUUCAGCUACAUAAACGUACUUGCAAAUAUAAACUUACUUACUUGUUACAAAAAGAAAACACAGCUUCACGUGAGUUAAAAAAAUAUAUAUGAACCUGUAACUGAUACUUUACUUUGCACACAGCCACAAGUUUAUUUUGCGAGAAUUUAAUAGCGAACGAAUAACAAAGCGAAAAAGAAAAAAAACAGAACGAGUUGAGCAAAAACAAAUUAAGAAUAACUCGUAUACAUUACAAAGUUUCCUCUUACAAUGUUCAUUUAGUUUAGUUACUCGUUUAACUUGCUGGAUUUUCGGUUUUGGUGCUUAAAGUCAAGCUGCUGCUCCCAUUUUCGAGCGCACCUUACUUAACUCGACACUGGCUUAAAGGCGCUGAUUGUGUGCAUAUACAUACGUACAGCUGGUGUGCUUUUAUAAAAGAACUAAGAAUACAUACAAAUAAAGUUAGAGAAAAAAGAAACUAAAAUAUAAGGUGCAAAUUUGGCACAACAACACCACCAAAAAAUAAUGUGUGAGUGCUUCAAUUUGCAUAAAUUUUUCGACAUUUUGCACCUCUUUCAUAUUACACACAAAAGUACAUACUUUGUAUACUUUGAACAAAGUUGAAAGCCAUUGAAAGUAUGGCCGCAAAAUAAACAAAAACAUCAACGCAAAUGGCAACAAUACCUACCAAAAAGAAUAUCACCAUCAUCAACAACAACAACAACAACAAUAAGAAUAACAGCCGGCUCGUGUAGCUACAAAAUAUCGGGAAUAUUACUUUUCUGCUGACUUUUUCGUUUCGUUUCUUGCUACAAAGUGAUUAUCGACAGCAAAAUCAAAAGGAAAGAAAAAGUUAAAAAUCGACAACAAAGACGCAAGUUUUCAACGCCGAGGCACGUCAUAUUUAAAUUAAUAAAGAACUUUAAUAAAUAUACGAGUGCAAUCUGAGAAGAUAUACAAAUA